rnacentral:rRNA from 1 species
UUCGGGCCUUUCGCGAUUGUNAUGAACCCAGUGUGGGAUUANCUAGUUGGUGGGGUAAUGGCUCACCAAGGCGACGAUCCCUAGCUGNUCUGAGAGGAUGAUCAGCCACNCUGGAACUGAAACACGGUCCAGACUCCUACGGGAGNAAGCAGUGGGGAAUAUUGCACAAUGGGGGAAACCCUGAUGCAGCCAUGCCGCGUGUGUGAAGAAGGCCUUCGGGUUGUAAAGCACUUUCAGCGAGGAGGAAAGGUUGGCGCCUAAUACGUGUCAACUGUGACGUUACUCGCAGAAGAAGCACCGGCUAACUCCGUGCCAGCAGCCGCGGUAAUACGGAGGGUGCAAGCGUUAAUCGGAAUUACUGGGCGUAAAGCGCACGCAGGCGGUUGGAUAAGUUAGAUGUGAAAGCCCCGGGCUCAACCUGGGAAUUGCAUUUAAAACUGUCCAGCUAGAGUCUUGUAGAGGGGGGUAGAAUUCCAGGUGUAGCGGUGAAAUGCGUANAGAUCUGGAGGAAUACCGGUGGCGAAGGCGGCCCCCUGGACAAAGACUGACNCUCAGGUGCGAAAGCGUGGGGAGCAAACAGGAUUAAAUACCCUGGUAGUCCCCCCGUAAACNAUGUCCAUUUGAGGCUGUGUCCUUGAAACGUGGCUUCCGGANCUAACGCGUUAA